AAUGAUAUGCCUGAUAAAAGGGUUAUCUUGAUAGGAUAAAUUAUAUAAUUAAUUAUUAUCAUUA
rnacentral:tRNA from 1 species